UGCUGUCAUAUCCCGUUGAAACAACGGUUCUCAUAUGACCACUGAAGUUAAGCAACGUUGAAUCUGGUCAGUACAUAGAUGGGUGACCGCUUGCGUAUACUAGGCGUUGUAAG